rnacentral:rRNA from 1 species
UGGGGAAUUUUGGACAAUGGGGGCAACCCUGAUCCAGCAAUGCCGCGUGUGUGAAGAAGGCCUUCGGGUUGUAAAGCACUUUUGUCCGGAAAGAAAACGCCGUGGUUAAUACCCGUGGCGGAUGACGGUACCGGAAGAAUAAGCACCGGCUAACUACGUGCCAGCAGCCGCGGUAAUACGUAGGGUGCAAGCGUUAAUCGGAAUUACUGGGCGUAAAGCGUGCGCAGGCGGUCCGCUAAGACAGAUGUGAAAUCCCCGGGCUUAACCUGGGAACUGCAUUUGUGACUGGCGGGCUAGAGUAUGGCAGAGGGGGGUAGAAUUCCACGUGUAGCAGUGAAAUGCGUAGAGAUGUGGAGGAAUACCGAUGGCGAAGGCAGCCCCCUGGGCCAAUACUGACGCUCAUGCACGAAAGCGUGGGGAGCAAACAGGAUUAGAUACCCUGGUAGUCCACGCCCUAAACGAUGUCAACUAGUUGUCGGGUCUUCAUUGACUUGGUAACGUAGCUAACGCGUGAAGUUGACCGCCUGGGGAGUACGGUCGCAAGAUUAAAACUNAAAUGAAUUGACGGGGUCAUAGCUGUUUCCUG